UACGGGGGGGGCAAGCGUUGUUCGGAAUUACUGGGCGUAAAGGGCUCGUAGGCGGCCAACUAAGUCGGACGUGAAAUCCCCAGGCUCAACCUGGGAACUGCGUCCGAUACUGGAUGGCUUGAAUCCGGGAGAGGGAUGCAGAAUUCCAGGUGUAGCGGUGAAAUGCGUAGAUAUCUGGAGGAACACCGGUGGCGAAGGCGGCAUCCUGGACCGACACUGACGCUGAGGCGCGAAAGCUAGGGUAGCAAACGGG
rnacentral:rRNA from 1 species